GACGAACGCUGGCGGCGUGCCUAAUCCAUGCAAGUAGAACGCAGUUGCGAACGGGUGAGUAACGCGUAGGUAACUGCCUGGUAGCGGGGGAUAACUAUUGGAAACGAUAGCUAAUACCGAAUACUACCAGCUGGACCUGACUUGUAUUAGAUAGUUGGUGGGGGAAAGGCUCACCAAGGCAACGAUACAUAGCCGACCUGAGAGGGUGGUCGGCCACACUGGGACUGAGACACGUCCCAGACUCCUACGGGAGGCAGCAGUAGGGAAUCUUCGGCAAUGGGGGGAACCCUGACCGAGCAACGCCGCGUGAGUGAAGAAGGUUUUCGGAUCGUAAAGCUCUGUUGUUAAGGAAGCGGUACUUAACCAGAAAGGGACGGCUAACUACGUGCCAGCAGCCGCGGUAAUUC
rnacentral:rRNA from 1 species